GAUGAACGCUGACAGAAUGCUUAACACAUGCAAGUCAACUUGAACUUCGGUUUGGGUGGCGGACGGGUGAGUAACGCGUAAAGAACUUGCCUCACAGAUAGGGACAACAUUUGGAAACGAAUGCUAAUACCUGAUAUUAUGAUUUUAGGGCAUCCUAGAAUUAUGAAAGCUAUAUGCGCUGUGAGAGAGCUUUGCGUCCCAUUAGCUAGUUGGAGAGGUAACGGCUCACCAAGGCGAUGAUGGGUAGCCGGCCUGAGAGGGUGAACGGCCACAAGGGGACUGAGACACGGCCCUUACUCCUACGGGAGGCAGCAGUGGGGAAUAUUGGACAAUGGACCAAGAGUCUGAUCCAGCAAUUCUGUGUGCACGAUGAAGUUUUUCGGAAUGUAAAGUGCUUUCAGUUGGGAAGAAAAAAAUGACGGUACCAACAGAAGAAGUGACGGCUAAAUACGUGCCAGCAGCCGCGGUAAUACGUAUGUCACAAGCGUUAUCCGGAUUUAUUGGGCGUAAAGCGCGUCUAGGUGGUUAUGUAAGUCUGAUGUGAAAAUGCAGGGCUCAACUCUGUAUUGCGUUGGAAACUGUGUAACUAGAGUACUGGAGAGGUAAGCGGAACUACAAGUGUAGAGGUGAAAUUCGUAGAUAUUUGUAGGAAUGCCGAUGGGGAAGCCAGCUUACUGGACAGAUGCUGACGCUGAAGCGCGAAAGCGUGGGUAGCAAACAGG
rnacentral:rRNA from 1 species